AGUAAAAGAGCCAGUGCCAUGAGAGUUAUCUCAUGGCCCCAGAUGCUGGAUAAGUUGAAGAAGGCAGAAAUCACUUCUGGAUGACAUUCAGGUCUGAAUGAUGAUUUGAAGAAGAAAAGACUAUUAUUUCCAAGGUAAACAGGCUGUUUCAUCCAUC
ensembl:misc_RNA